UCGUUCGCUCCCAAAUAAUUUUUAUACACGUUCGCCCCAUAGGACCUAACGCAUCUAAUUUCAAAUUCCAGUUGAAUUCAGUAUUACAAGGUAUGGGCAGAGGAGUUGACUAUUGAUAAUGACUGAUACUGGAAUUAAUGAAGUAACCUACAUGUAGUGUCCAAUCUCUAUGUGGAGUUUGCCUAUCAGACAGUCCAUUUUUACAUGUACCAAAAAAUAAUUAGCUCCCCAGAUGUAAGUGGAAGUGAAGUUAUACAUGUUAUAUGUUUCGAUGAAAUGAAUGACUUGAUUAGAUAUACAUGUAGUGGAGACCCUAUAGAUACAGUACAUGUAACUGGAACUGUAGGAAGUAUUCAAAGAGUCUGAUUGCUAAGUAUGCAUUACAGGAUUUUAUCAUUGGAGCAACAUCUUAGGAGGAGAAGUGCAAAUGUAUGACGGAAUCCUUAGGUACAAAUAGCAAUUAUAUGCAGAAGAGGACUCUUAAACAUUAUUAACAGACAUGU